rnacentral:rRNA from 1 species
GACGAACGCUGGCGGCGUGCUUAACACAUGCAAGUCGAACGAAGUGGCGCACGGGUGAGUAACGCGUAAUAAACCUGCCCUUCAGAGGGGGACAACAGUGGGAAACGAAGGCUAUUACCGCAUACUGAAGGAGGGGAUGGCGUCUGAUUAGCUAGUUGGAGGGGAAACGGCCAACCAAGGCGAUUAUCAGUAGCCGGUCUGAAGGGAUGACCGGCCACAUUGGGACUGAGACACGGCCCAGACUCCUACGGGAGGCAGCAGGGGGGAAUCUUCCGCAAUGGACGAAAGGCUGGCUGAGGAACGCCGCGGUAGUGAUGACGGCCUUCGGGUUUUAAAGCUCUUUUAAUCGGGACGCGGUACCGGAAUAGAAAGCCACGGCUAACUACGUGCCAGCAGCCGCGGUAAUUC